AGGCACCACCGCUAGAUUAGACAACACCGCUAGAUUAGACCACAGGCACCACCGCUAGAUUAGACCACAGGCACCACCGCUAGAUUAGACAACAGGCACCACCGCUAGAUUAGACAACAGGCAACACCGCUAGAUUAGACCACACUGCCUGAUUAGACAACACCGCUAGAUUAGACAACAGGCACCACCACUAGAAUAGACAACACCGCUAGAUUAGACAACAGGCACCACCGCUAGAUUAGACAACACCGCUAGAUUAGACAACAGACAACACUGCUAGAUUAGACAACACCGCUAGAUUAGACCACAGGCACCACCGCUAGAUUAGACCACAGGCACCACCGCUAGAUUAGACCACAGGCACCACCGCUAGAUUAGACCACAGGCAACACCGCUAGAUUAGACCACAGACAACACCGCUAGAUUAGACAACACCGCUAGAUUAGACAACACCGCUAGAUUAGACCACAGGCACCACCACUAGAUUAGACCACAGACACCACCGCUAGAUUAGACCACAGGCACCACCACUAGAUUAGACCACAGACACCACCGCUAGAUUAGACAACAGGCACCACCGCUAGAUUAGACCACAGGCACCACCGCUAGAUUAGACCACAGGCACCACCGCUAGAUUAGACCACAGGCACCACCGCUAGAUUAGACCACAGGCAACACCGCUAGAUUAGACCACAGACAACACCGCUAGAUUAGACAACACCGCUAGAUUAGACCACAGGCACCACCACUAGAUUAGACCACAGACACCACCGCUAGAUUAGACAACAGGCAACACCGCUAGAUUAGACCACAGGCACCACCACUAGAUUAGACAACACCGCUAGAUUAGACCACAACACCGCUAGAUUAGACCACAGGCACCACCACUAGAUUAGACCACAGGCACCACCGCUAGAUUAGACCACAGGCACCACCACUAGAUUAGACCACAGGCACCACCACUAGAUUAGACCACAGGCACCACCACUAGAUUAGACAACAGGCACCACCACUAGAUUAGACCACAGGCACCACCACUAGAUUAGACCACAGGCACCACCGCUAGAUUAGACCACAGGCACCACCGCUAGAUUAGACCACAGACAACACCGCUAGAUUAGACAACACCGCUAGAUUAGACCACAGGCACCACCACUAGAUUAGACAACAGACACCACCGCUAGAUUAGACAACACCGCUAGAUUAGACCACAACACCACUAGAUUAGACAACAGGCAACACCGCUAGAUUAGACCACAGGCACCACCGCUAGAUUAGACCACAGGCACCACCGCUAGAUUAGACCACACCGCUAGAUUAGACCACAGGCACCACCACUAGAUUAGACAACACUGCUAGAUUAGGCACCACCACUAGAUUGGACAACAGGCACCACCGCUAGAUUAGACAAGAGGCACCACCGCUAGAUUAGACAACAGGCACCACCGCUAGAUUAGACCACAGGCAC
ensembl:lncRNA